CCCCUAGAUGUUCUGGGAUGCACGCGCGUUACACUGAUUCGUUCAACGAGUUUAUGACCUUGCCUGAUGAGGUGGGGGAAUCUUUUCAAAUCGCAUCGUGAUGGGGAUAGAGUAUUGUAACUGUUAGUCUUCAACGAGGAAUUCCUAGUAAGUACGUGUCAUCAGCUCGUACUGAUUAUGUCCCUGCCCUUUGUACACACCGCCCGUCGCUCCUACCGAUUGAGUGCUCAGGUGAAUAGUAUGGACUGCAUCAGUGUUCGGUCUCCGAAUGUUGACGCGAGAAAUUCUGUGAAUCUUAUUGCUUAGAGGAAGGAGAAGUCGUANCA
rnacentral:rRNA from 1 species